CUGGAAUGAGGGAAGGGACACAGCAUUUAUCCGGUGUUCUCUAGGUAGGGGUGUUUUCCGUAAGGUCCCACGAUGAUCCUGAAAGAGGACAGAUCCUGAUUUGUUUUGCUGAGCUGGAGUAGUGGGAAGUAGAGGAUGCAGACUGGAAACGCCGAGGGAGGGCUACGUUGCUCCCCACGAACCGGAGGAUCAGACAGCCUCGGUGGCACCUCCUACCAGUGACAGGAGCAGUAGAGGAAGCAGGAACCACAUUCAGUGAGCAGGUGUGGGACCAGAGGAGGCAGAGGACUCACAGGUGAGCACACAGGCCCAGACAGAGGAGGUGGCUUCUCCAACAGGAACGGAAGGGUGGGAGCAAGAACAGAACUCAGAUCUCCUGACCCGCAUUCGAAGGACCCCCUUGACUACCUGUCCUCCGAAGACAGGUGGACCCUGGCUGAGAACUGCACCGUGAGACCUUGUCUGAUUUCCGGUCUGAGUGCCCCACGCGCUGCUGGUCCCCAACCAUCCUCGGCCACAGUGGGCCAGGGGCAGUGACCGGGGUGCGGAGUGGGGAAGCAGUACCAAAACCCUCUGCGUGCCACUCCUGGCAACAUUUAGGGAACUCUGUUUGCUCUGCUGCUCCUUCCCCGUCCUCCUUCUCUCCCUGUCUCACCCACUGUGGCGGUUUCCCCUGCGGCUGCCUGUGGUUUCAUGCCCGUGCCUUUGCACACGGUGCCCUCUGCCUGGAAUUCCCUCUGCAGCCUCGUCUGCUGGCCCGCCUUCCAAAGGCAGCUGCCGCAUCCCCUGCGCUGGAAGCCUCUCCCCGCUCAGGCAGACCGGGGGACACACCCCGGCCCCUGAGCGUUCUAGGCCACGUCUUCCCCCAUUAGCACAAGUUCAUGUGCCUGAGGCACUGUGAGGCCAAACACACCGAAAGGGAGUUUGCAGCAGAGAAAGGUUUAUUGCAGGGCCAUGCAGGGAGACAAGGUGGCUCACACCCCAAAAACCCCAAGCUCCCCGAAGGGUUUCUGCAAAACAUUUUUAAAAGUCUGGUGAGGGGGACUCAAAGGAGGGUGGAGGGGGAGUCGAGAGAGGGAGGGAAUACGGGGAUAUGUGUAUAAAAACAGAUGAUUGAACCUGGUGU